AUGAACGCUAGCGACAGGCCUAACACAUGCAAGGUCGAGGGGCAGCACAAGGAGCAAUCUGAGGUGGCGACCGGCGCACGGGUGAGUAACACGUAUGCAACCUGCCUGCAAGCGGGGAAUAACCCGUUGAAAGACGGACUAAUACCGCAUAAUACUAAAUUACUGCAUGGUAAUUUAUUUAAACAUUUAUGGCUUACAGAUGGGCAUGCGCAUGAUUAGCUAGUUGGAGAGGUAACGGCUCCCCAAGGCAACGAUCAUUAGGGGUUCUGAGAGGAAGGUCCCCCACACUGGUACUGAGACACGGACCAGACUCCUACGGGAGGCAGCAGUGAGGAAUAUUGGUCAAUGGACGAGAGUCUGAACCAGCCAAGUCGCGUGCAGGAAGAAUGUCCUUAAUGGAUUGUAAACUGCUUUUGCAGGGGAAUAAAGUGCAUCACGUGUGAUGUUUUGUAUGUACUCUGCGAAUAAGGAUCGGCUAACUCCGUGCCAGCAGCGGC
rnacentral:rRNA from 1 species